AAGAAAGACAUAAAGGUUAUGGGGUUGGCUUGAAACUAAUCUUAGGGGGUUCAAUUCCUUCCUUUCUU
rnacentral:tRNA from 3 species